rnacentral:rRNA from 1 species
AAUGAACGCUGGCGGCAGGCUUAACACAUGCAAGUCGAGCGAGCGGAGGACGGGUGAGGAAUGUCUGGGAAAGUGCCUUAUCGAUGGGGAUAACUACUGUAAACGGUAGCUAAUGCUGCAUAACAUCAGAUUCGCCAAGAUGGGAUUAGCUAGUAGGUGGGGUAAUGGAUCACCGAGGCGACGAUCCCUAGCUGGUCUGAGAGGAUGACCAGCCACACUGGAACUGAGACACGGUCCAGACUCCUACGGGAGGCAGCAGUGGGGAAUAUUGCACAAUGGGAGCAAGCCUGAUACAGCCAUGCCGCGUGUGUGAAGAAGGCCUUCGGAUUGUAAAGCACUUUCAGCGGGGAGGCGUUACUCGCAGAAGAAGCACCGGCUAACUCCGUGCCAGCAGCCGCGGUAAUUC